AUCUCCCGGGGAUCUUACUGAAAUGCAGAUUCUGAUUCAGGAGGUCUGGGUGAGAGCCUGAGCUUCUGCAUUUCUAAUAAGUUCCCCAGUGAUGCCAA
rnacentral:pre_miRNA from 1 species